AAUAAGGCACGCUACAUUCUUGACUGCUCUUGGACACUUCCAUGGAUGACUUCCAGACUCUGCCAUUGUUUGAUUUUGACCGCGAUCUGGCGGGAAAGGUUUUCCCCUGCAUCCUGUGUGCACUCGCGAUAUUUGGGCAUAACCGUAAACUUAACCAUCAUCAUCGCGAGAGAGGAUCAUUGAGACAAGAAAGACCGUUGGCGAAAGUUGGAGGAGCAAUUUGUGACUGCAAAAGUUCCUGUGGCGGCUGUCCGACCGCAAGAGUGUCCUGUCUAACCGUACCUGUGUCUGCAAUCCAACUUCAUCAGUGAGACGGCCGUGGCAUGGCUACUCCAGUGAAGCUCAGAAGCAUUUUAGGAGAAAACAGUUCCCAGAGAUUGAUCCUUCCAGAUGGGAUUCCAGAAGCUGUCACUGAACUCACAGCAAAUUAAGAGGCAGUGUGGAAUAGAAGGGGAAUUCAGGCUCCAAUUCAUGGAUGCUGAGUUUGGGAAUGAAUUCACCAACUUGCUGUCAACAUCAGAUGUCCAGGACAGAAGUUCCAUCAAGGUCAUCUUUACAUCAGUUGCACCUGCACAGCCUGUUGUCUCCCUGCCCCCUCCCUACUCAGCUGCUGCCACUUCCCGCUGUCUAAAUGACUCCUUAUCUCUCUCAUCUGGAAGCUCCGUCAAUACUGACAUACUGUCUUCUCCUGAGUCCACGUCAAGAUCAUCUGGAUGGCCCCCUGUCUUCAUUGUGCCCCGGUUCUCUUACGACACUGAACUACAGCUGGACAGGGCCAACGCUACUUUCAAAACGGACGGAACAUUGUUGAGUCCUGACAACAAACUUAAAUCUGCCAUUCUUGAUGGCUUAGCUGAGAAGAUUAUAGAGUACAAAGUCUACCUCUCUGACAGUGAGUUUGAGGAGGUAGCAAAAGCUCUUGUCUCAUCACAUCCAUGUUUGAAAGAACCCGGUUCUUUCACUGGAUAUGGCGGAUGGAAGACGAGCUUGAAAUAUAAACUUGCUAACUACCGAACAAAGCUUAGGCGGCUUGGAUGCCCCGAAGUUGUAGUAAAUGCCCUAAAACACAAAC